GGGAAUUUUGCGCAAUGGGGGAAACCCUGACGCAGCAACGCCGCGUGGAGGAUGAAAUCCCUUGGGAUGUAAACUCCUUUCGCUCGGGACGAUGAUGACGGUACCGAGAGAAGAAGCCCCGGCUAACUUCGUGCCAGCAGCCGCGGUAAUACGAGGGGGGCAAGCGUUGUUCGGAAUUAUUGGGCGUAAAGGGUGCGUAGGCGGUUUGACAAGUCUUAUGUGAAAUCUCUGGGCUCAACCCAGGGUCUGCAUGGGAAACUGUCGGGCUUGAGGAUGGGAGAGGUGAGUGGAAUUUCCGGUGUAGCGGUGAAAUGCGUAGAUAUCGGAAGGAACACCUGUGGCGAAAGCGGCUCACUGGACCAUUUCUGACGCUGAUGCACGAAAGCUAGGGGAGCAAAC
rnacentral:rRNA from 1 species